GCUGGCGGCAGGCCUAACACAUGCAAGUCGAGCGGAUGAAGGGAGCUUGCUCCUGGAUUCAGCGGCGGACGGGUGAGUAAUGCCUAGGAAUCUGCCUGGUAGUGGGGGAUAACGUCCGGAAACGGGCGCUAAUACCGCAUACGUCCUGAGGGAGAAAGUGGGGGAUCUUCGGACCUCACGCUAUCAGAUGAGCCUAGGUCGGAUUAGCUAGUUGGUGGGGUAAAGGCCUACCAAGGCGACGAUCCGUAACUGGUCUGAGAGGAUGAUCAGUCACACUGGAACUGAGACACGGUCCAGACUCCUACGGGAGGCAGCAGUGGGGAGUAUUGGACAAUGGGCGAAAGCCUGAUCCAGCCAUGCCGCGUGUGUGAAGAAGGUCUUCGGAUUGUAAAGCACUUUAAGUUGGGAGGAAGGGCAGUAAGUUAAUACCUUGCUGUUUUGACGUUACCAACAGAAUAAGCACCGGCUAACUUCGUGCCAGCAGCCGCGGUAAUACGAAGGGUGCGAGCGUUAAUCGGAAUUACUGGGCGUAAAGCGCGCGUAGGUGGUUCAGCAAGUUGGAUGUGAAAUCCCCGGGCUCAACCUGGGAACUGCAUCCAAAACUACUGAGCUAGAGUACGGUAGAGGGUGGUGGAAUUUCCUGUGUAGCGGUGAAAUGCGUAGAUAUAGGAAGGAACACCAGUGGCGAAGGCGACCACCUGGACUGAUACUGACACUGAGGUGCGAAAGCGUGGGGAGC
rnacentral:rRNA from 1 species